rfam:Xenorhabdus beddingii strain DSM 4764 Xbed_15, whole genome shotgun sequence.
GAAUUCAUUGAAAAGCCAGCUUAUACCCCAUGAAUUUCAAGAUGCCGCCAAUAAGGCGGCAAUUUGAAAGACGAAAGGUAUCGUUAUUUAAGGAUUAUUUUG